GGGGUGCUCGAGUGGCGAACGGGUGAGUAACACGUGAGUAACCUGCCCUUGACUUUGGGAUAACUUCAGGAAACUGGGGCUAAUACCGGAUAGGAGCUCCUGCUACAUGGUGGGGGUUGGAAAGUUUCGGCGGUUGGGGAUGGACUCGCGGCUUAUCAGCUUGUUGGUGGGGUAGUGGCUUACCAAGGCUUUGACGGGUAGCCGGCCUGAGAGGGUGACCGGCCACAUUGGGACUGAGAUACGGCCCAG
rnacentral:rRNA from 1 species